rnacentral:tRNA from 1 species
GGCUCUGUGGCGCAAUGGAUAGCGCGUUGGACUUCUAUUUCAAAGGUUGUGGGUUCCAGUCCCACCAAAGUCG